ensembl:lncRNA FAM86DP family with sequence similarity 86 member D, pseudogene
CAGGGGCAGACGGGAUGGGUCUCCGUGCUGAAACCCCCGGCGCUCCUGCCACGUGAGUUCCUGGGCUCUCCCCGGUCAGGGCCGCGAGACCCGGUCCCCGUCCCUGGGGCCUGGCCAGAGUCGCUCGCACCCCUCCUGCCCCGCGAGCUGGCGGCGGAAGAUGAGGGCGUCUCCACCGCCUUGGGGGGGCAGACGCGUGCUCGGUGUGGGGUACAGUUCACGAUCAUUUUCACGACUUUUUAAAGAGCUUAGAAGCAAAGUUAAGAGACUCAUCAGAUUCUGAGCUGCUGCGGGAUAUUUUGCAGAAGACUGUGAAGCAUCCUGUGUGUGUGUGAAGCACCCGCCGUCAGUCAAGAAAGCCCGGUGCUUUCUCUCAGAACUCAUCAAAAAGUAACCUGAAGCUUUCACCGUAGACGUGCUGUAUUGCCCAGAAGCCAUCGUGUCGCUGGUCGGGAUCCUGCGGAGGCUGGCUGCCUGCUGGGAGCACCAGCAGUCUCCUGAGGUCUACGUGGCCUUUACCGUCCACAACCCAGAGACGUGCCAGCUGUUCACCACCGAGCUAGGACGCUGGAGCACAGGCUGUACAGGCUGAUCCACCACACCACUGUCCUGAGCACCCAGUUGAUGGAAGACGAGCAGGGUGACUAUAGAGAAGGGGAACUUCUCAGUGGGCCAACCACUGUCCUCAGACCUGACGUUUGUCAGCCCCCAGCACCUGUGAGGGUGUGCUGUCAUUGUCCCAUCUCACCGACAAAGACAUUAGGACACACAGAGGCCAAGCGACCCUCGAGCUCCUGCAGACUGCAGCCCGGCCACCAGGCUCUCGUGCCUCCACACUACACCCAAGCCUCCCAAUGCCACCAGCCUCUGCCCCAGCUCCCCCUGAGCACAGCCCCUCCUGGCAGCCAUGUGCACAGAUGCACCCGCAGCAGCCUCUGCCUGCACACAGAGACACAGACAACCCAGUGCCUGUCCACGUGGGGCAGCCCGUUAACUACAGAGCCAACAAACAAGCCAGCACAUGAAGGCAUACUGGGUUCCACGACAGAGUCCCGCACAACCUCGCACAGGAGGCUGGCCGGGCGCGGGGCUCAGGCCUGUCAUCCCGGCACUUUAGGAGGCUAAGAAAGGAGGACUACUUGACCCCAGUUGUUCAAGAAAAACCUGGGCCACAUAGUGGGACCCUGUCUUCACAAAACAUACAGAAACUAGCCAGAUGUGGUUGCACACACCUGUAGUCCCAGCUACUCAGGAGGCUGAGGUGGGAGGAUGGCUUGAGCCCACGAGGUGGAGGCUGCAGUGAGCCCUGAUCUCACCACUGCACUCCAGCGUGGGCAACAGAGCAAGACCCUAUCUCAAAAAAGCAAAAAACCAAAAAAAAAAAAAAAAAAA